GCUUGCUUUGGCAACACAUAUACUAAAAUUGGAACAAUAUAGGGAAAAUUAGCAUGGCCCUUGCAUAAGGAUAACACACGAAUUCAUGAAGCAUUCCAUAUUUUU